AUGGGGUGUGAACAGUGCCAAAACAUAUAAGUAUUAUAUAGACAGCUUUCUCUGCCAUUGGAUACAUGCUAUAGAUAUACAUACAUAUAUGGAUGCACCAUUAUACAUACUAAAAUGAUAGUUUGUACAGAUAUUGAUACAUCUAUGGCAUAUCUUCACGUCAUUAUAGAUCAUCAUGAUCAUCACCCCGCCUAUAGUAGGCGUGUCUCCUGUCAAGAAAGCUAAGAAGAUGACUAUGAAAAUAACUAGCAAGUUUACCCAGUUUGAGGUAUAACCUUUAGUUUUUUCCUAAUUGAAACGAAUAAUACAAAUGGUAACCCUUGUAUAUUGUAGCCCUUAGAUGUGUGAGCAAUCUGAAAUAGAUCCAGUCUCAUUCUGAGGUUAUUCGUCAGGGCUAAACACUGAGGUCCGAGACAGUUAAAGGCUGAGUUAGCCUUGAGUGUGUUUGCUCCAUGACCAUGCAAACAAUGCUGGGGAAAAGAACAAAGAAAGCUUAAUUGAAUACCCCUCAAGAAAGUAAUGAAACUAGUCCAGAUACCCGAUGCAAAACUAAUUAAUUAGAUGAAUGAUAAUGGUGACUCUUAAUAUUAACAAUUAACAAUGUUUUAAUGCCUUCCUCAUUUAUGACAAUUUUUCAUAAAACAUUUGGGUUACCACUUAUGUACUGGUCCAACUGA
rnacentral:lncRNA from 1 species